CAAACGGCCUUUUUCAAGGCCACCACAACACUUUAAAUAAGGAACU
rfam:Solenopsis invicta Si_gnG.contig88068, whole genome shotgun sequence.